rnacentral:rRNA from 1 species
AACGCGAAGAACCUUACCUACCCUUGACAUCCACAGAAUUUUACAGAGAUGUAGAAGUGCCGAAAGGAACUGUGAGACAGGUGCUGCAUGGCUGUCGUCAGCUCGUGUUGUGAGAUGUUGGGUUAAGUCCCGUAACGAGCGCAACCCUUAUCCUUAGUUACCAGCAUGUAAUGGUGGGGACUCUAAGGAGACUGCCGGUGAUGAACCGGAGGAAGGCGGGGACGACGUCAAGUCAUCAUGGCCUUUAUGGGUAGGGCUACACACGUGCUACAAUGGGCAGUACAGAGAGUCGCCAACCUGCGAAGGGGAGCCAAUCUCAGAAAGCUGCUCGUAGUCCGGAUUGGAGUCUGCAACUCGACUCCAUGAAGUUGGAAUCGCUAGUAAUCGCGAAUCAGAAUGUCGCGGUGAAUACGUUCCCGGGCCUUGUACACACCGCACUACUA